rnacentral:rRNA from 2 species
UAGGGAAUUUUGCGCAAUGGACGAAAGUCUGACGCAGCAACGCCGCGUGAAGGAUGACUGCCUUCGGGUUGUAAACUUCUGUUGGAUGGGAAAAAAAGCCACGUAAGUGGAAUUGAUGGUACCAUUCGAGUAAGCACCGGCUAACUACGUGCCAGCAGCCGCGGUAAUACGUAGGGUGCAAGCGUUGUUCGGAAUCACUGGGCGUAAAGAGAGCGUAGGCGGGAUCGUAAGUUAGGAGUUUAAUGCAUGGGCUCAACCCAUGAUCUGCUUUUAAUACUGCGGUUCUUGAGUAUGGGAGAGGGUGAUGGAAUUCCAGGUGUAGCGGUGGAAUGCGUAGAUAUCUGGAAGAACACCAGUAGCGAAGGCGGUCGCCUGGCCCAAUACUGACGCUGAGGCUCGAAAGCUAGGGGAGCAAACAGG